CAAGAUUAGCCAUGCAUGUCUAAGUAUAAGCAACUAUACGGUGAAACUGCGAAUGGCUCAUUAAAUCAGUUAUCGUUUAUUUGAUAGUACCUUACUACAUGGAUAACCGUGGUAAUUCUAGAGCUAAUACAUGCUAAAAACCUCGACUUCGGAAGGGGUGUAUUUAUUAGAUAAAAAACCAAUGCCCUUCGGGGCUCCUUGGUGAAUCAUAAUAACUUAACGAAUCGCAUGGCCUUGCGCCGGCGAUGGUUCAUUCAAAUUUCUGCCCUAUCAACUUUCGAUGGUAGGAUAGUGGCCUACCAUGGUAUCAACGGGUAACGGGGAAUUAGGGUUCGACUCCGGAGAGGGAGCCUGAGAAACGGCUACCACAUCCAAGGAAGGCAGCAGGCGCGCAAAUUACCCAAUCCCGACACGGGGAGGUAGUGACAAUAAAUACUGAUACAGGGCUCUUUUGGGUCUUGUAAUUGGAAUGAGUACAAUUUAAAUCCCUUAACGAGGAACAAUUGGAGGGCAAGUCUGGUGCCAGCAGCCGCGGUAAUUCCAGCUCCAAUAGCGUAUAUUAAAGUUGUUGCAGUUAAAAAGCUCGUAGUUGAACCUUGGGCCUGGCUGGCCGGUCCGCCUCACCGCGUGUACUGGUCCGGCCGGGCCUUUCCUUCUGGGGAACCUCAUGCCCUUCACUGGGCGUGUUGGGGAACCAGGACUUUUACUUUGAAAAAAUUAGAGUGUUCAAAGCAGGCCUUUGCUCGAAUACAUUAGCAUGGAAUAAUAGAAUAGGACGUGUGGUUCUAUUUUGUUGGUUUCUAGGACCGCCGUAAUGAUUAAUAGGGAUAGUCGGGGGCAUCAGUAUUCAAUCGUCAGAGGUGAAAUUCUUGGAUUGAUUGAAGACUAACUACUGCGAAAGCAUUUGCCAAGGAUGUUUUCAUUAAUCAGUGAACGAAAGUUAGGGGAUCGAAGACGAUCAGAUACCGUCGUAGUCUUAACCAUAAACUAUGCCGACUAGGGAUCGGACGGUGUUAGUAUUUUGACCCGUUCGGCACCUUACGAGAAAUCAAAGUUUUUGGGUCUGGGGGGAGUAUGGUCGCAGGCUGAACUAG
rnacentral:rRNA from 1 species